rnacentral:lncRNA from 1 species
CCCCUCAAUCUUUGCAACUUGGACUAAACCCCGGGGACGCUUAUAUAAGUAUGGUGUUCUUACCAUGAAGAACACACCAAGUGAAUAAAAUACUUCCACCUCUCUCCGUUCCUGUCAUUUCUCAAUAGCAAUACAUCCUGUAAAUUUAUUUCAUAGUACCUUUUGAGUAUUAGUAGUGAGAAAAAGUAAAAGAAGUCGUCAAAUUAACCCUGGGCCAAGUUAAGUAAACCCAGUUAAAUAGGUCUACAAAAAAUUCCUGGAUUCAGGACAAGGGAUAAAAAUUUCUGAAAGUGAUAAUAACGGUAUUAAUGUUAUCAUUUGAUACUUUUCUGCAGUUCCUCAAGAAUGUAGAGUAUACAUAUUUAAAACAUCUUCACUCCUCUGCAAUGUAUGCCGUCAUUUGAUAUCACUCCUCUGCAGUGCCCGAAGAAUGUAGAGGAUACAUCUUCAACACAUCCGCCCAUGUGCUCACUCCAUCAGUCACUUCCCUCACAACUGAUGCGACCUUAUCCGUGCUCACCCGGACCUGAUCUUUGCUAUCCCUCUCUCGCACUGUCACUGAUGACGUCGAAUCAACAGUGACGGCAAAGGGAACACCAAGUUCAUCUGUUCUUGCAUACCUUUUCCCUAUAGAAGUACCUGCGAACGUAUGCGAGAGCAAUUAGUAUGGAAAACGUGGAUAUGGCACGAGAAGCUAAGAUAAGUCAAAUUACCCUUUGACCUUUUUUCUUACUGUAAAUGCCACCCACUGAUCUAUUUUAAAUAAAGCAGGGAGCAUCUAACUGAUAUAAUAAUAUAGCACCAAUCAGAGCAGAUAACGCCAAUAUGCUUCCACAUCAACGAGACUAACAUUCUUUACUGUCACCUCUCUUGGAUAGGACUCUUACAACAAGAAUAGCAGAGUAAAAUGAAUAUAAAUUAAGAGAAAAGAAACAAAAGCAAUUGUUCAAGUGGAGGGAGCUGCAACUGUGCAUAGAAGAUACAUAGAAACAUAUUAUACACAAAACAAUCUGGACAAGCUACAAAGAAUGAUCCAACAUUUUAACAGGUCUAUCAAGGUGUGGAAAGGAGAAAAAAUCAAGGUAUCAUGCCGGACUCAAAGUCUGACUACCAAAUAUGUACUCAAUGCAUGUAUCGCCCAUAUUAUGGGUAUUCUGACAGUAUUCACGUGUCUCUUACAGGGGAAAGUGACAAGUACGUGAGGGCACAAUGAAGGGCAGAAAUACCAUUGCACAUAGGACUAAAGCCAACAGUGUCUCUCUCCUCAACGCGUGAUACCAUUUGCAUUAAGUUCCAAAUCAGAGCAUCGCACAAAGGAAUCAAUCAAAAUACUCUUAGCAGCAUACCUGUUAUAUCAAUCUUAUGUGAGAUUCCAGCAGCAGUCAAAGACUUUGAGAUUAACUUGGCAACUUCUUCAUAUUGUUGAUUCUGAACCAGUGGAAAAACAGUGCAUUUGAUGGGAGCCACUAGUGGUGGGAAGCGGAACACAUUUAGUUGCUCAUCUCCACCUUUACUCGGCCUUGUGUAGAAUGAAUGCUCAUAAAGACAAUAUAUUAUCCGGCCAAUUCCAAAUGAGGGCUCAAUCACUGAAGGUGUAAACACCCUUUGGUGCUCUUUCUUUUUCUCCUUGGAAAUAGAGACCAUGCUUUUCUUAAUGGUGACAUUCUUCCCGAGAGUACAUACAUGGAACCCCACCUCCCCCUUGGAUUCCAGAUCAGCCUUCAUCUCCAUAGCCACCUUUUCUUCCAUUGCACAUUUGAUGGGGGCCACUAGUGGUGGGAAGCGGAACACAUUUAGUUGCUCAUCUCCACCUUUACUCGGCCUUGUGUAGAAUGAAUGCUCAUAAAGACAAUAUAUUAUCCGGCCAAUU